CAUGUAUAAUUUCUAAUUGAAAAUAUUAUGUGCUCAUUAGAAAAAUCACUUGCUGAAAGAAUUUAAAAUAAUCCUUCCACAUAUUAAUUUUAUGACCUUCAUUUAUGUAUAAAAUUUUUAAUUUUAUUAAUCUUAGUAGAAUACAUAUUUAUAAAAUAGCAAACGCUUCAAUUAUGAUAUUUGUCUUCUAAAAGCAUUUUAGUAGAACUUUUAAUAAAACAAAUAUAUUAAAAAUCCUUGCAUCGCACAGGUAGUAGGCGAGUGUAAUUAUGACUUAAACUAUACACAAACGCAUAUAUAUACUAUAUAAAAUUUAUUCUCUAUUUAAUAUGUUUUGUUUUUAGGUCAUGUUAUGCCCGUGAGACUUUCUAGUAAUCAAUUAGAGAAUUACUUAAUAUAAAAAAUAUUAUAAUUAUUAAGUAAAACAUAAUCUAUUAUUAUUAAUAUUAAUAUUAAUAUAAAUUAUUUAUUGCAAUUAAAAUAAAUUAACUAUUUAACUAAUUUAAAUUUUUCUAAAUCUCUGUUUUAUGAAGGGUAUUUUAGCCAAAAUUUCUUACAUAUGCGAUAAUCUAAAUUUUGCUCCAAACAUAAUAAUGGAAAUCUAUGGUAAUAUACGUCUAAUUUUUCUUAGUAUAGCGUAUACAAUAAUGUGGAUGUCCAGCUCUAGCGAUAAUGUAUCUUGAGGUAAUGCAUAUUACCACAAGAAAACUUCUCCUCUUCCUCUCCACUUUGGCGUGGUGCAUUUGGGGGUGGUCUAUCGCUCCCCCCCAAUGAUUGUGCAUUCUCCCUCUUUGAUCAAACUUAAGGCCGCGAGUGGCGGUGACCUUUGACUCCUCGAGUUACCGAUGAUAGCGAGAUAGCUGUUGUAGCGGUGGUGCCGCUCCAUGUCUGACCCUAACUAGCUAGUCGAACACCUCAUGACCAGCGGCGGUAGCAGCUCCCCAACCUCCUCGUCUAUCCGAUCAGCUCUCCUCCUCCCCUACGAUGGCAGCUUCUAAUAUGCAGCUACACUCCUCUACCCUAGCGAUAGUAUCCCGGCCCUCCAUCUCAAAGAUUGCACCUUAGUCUAACCAAUCCUACCGCCCGCCUGAAAAAAUCAACCUUUUGUGACUUUGCCUUUUUUUGUUGGUUUUUACAGGUUUCAGUUCCCCGAUGUCAGUCGCCGAUUUGAACCGAUCAAGGAAGUCUGGUUGGUUUGAUUUAACAAUAUGGUUGCCUUGGCUUCACUAUCUCUAGUUUGAACCGAUCAAGGAAGUCUAACUGCUUUGGUUUGAUUGUCUAGGGAUUGGGUUGUUAAGGGCUUGGUUGAUUGAUUAGAUUUAGAGGUUAUCAUCUGUGAAAGGUUCUUAUACCAAGUAUCGGUGUAAGACUCAUCUUGGCUCUGCUUCUCUAUUUCCACAGUAGUAACAUUAUCUGUAUGGAUUGCUCUUUGUUAUGCUUCAUAGUUUUCACUAGGGUCCAUAUAGAGUGUAGAUGCAAAAGGUUGAGAACGGAUUACAGGAACUGUAGUUAUGUUUAUUUGAUAUGAUUUAGCCACAUGAACUUUCCUUUGCAGUGAUCUUGGUGGAUCUGAUGUAUUUUUUUAUGUCUCUACAAUUUACCCUCUCGGACAUUUUCCUUUGUACCUGUUUUUGUUAUCAAUUGACUUUUUACCCAAGAAAAAGAAAAAUGCAAACAUAUAUGGACCAAUCUAGCUUACACUAACAUGGUUGUUGAGCAUAUGAUCUCUUUCUUGGCUCAAACCUCCUAGUUAAUGGCUCAAAACUCCUGGUUAAUGAUGAAAACCAUCCUAGAUCUACGGAUCUUCUUGGGAAUGAUAUAGUUUCCAUCUGAAAACUGAGUGAUUUGGCUUGGACACUAUUUUGUAAAAUUUGUGGAUGUCAAUCAUUUUUUAGAGUCCACUCUUCUCGCAAUGAAACUUCACUCCACAUGAUUAGUUCUAGGAGGACUAAAUUUAACCGGAUUAUAUAUUUGUUUGUAAAAGAAGCAUUUCUCCAUUUAGGGCACGUUUGGUUUGCAGGAAAUGGUAGGGAACGGAAUACUCAUUCCGACGUUUGGUUCAUGAGAAUGCGAAAUAACUAUUCCAGGUCGGAAUAGCUAUCCGGCUUGCACACGGAAUUCGCGUGCCUCCCUCGAUUGUCCGGAAUGGGCAUUCUUCAUUCGAAAAUUGAUUGGCCCGAGAUCGACAUAGGCUUCAACAGAGCUUUCUUCGAUUCCUCCCUCAUCCAGUUUGGCUUCCUCCCUCGACAAAAAUCAACAACUGGAAAAGCCGAAGCUCCACUGCCGAAGCAACCAACAACCGGAAAGAGAUAGCUCACGGACCAAAUCAGAAUCGGUGCAGGUAGGGUUGAUUUCUCCUUCGAUUCCACCCAUUCUUGGUCUAUUGACAGAUUGAUCACUGGUAAUUCCACCCAUUCCGAGUGAUUGGCGAGGUUUCUUUGCUGAUUGAUCAUUAGGGCUUUAUUGAUUGAUUCCACGAUGCAGUUAGGGCUUUGUUGAUUGAUUCCUCUACUCGAAUUGCGGAGGUAUUCCGGUGAGUGCCUUGUUUUUCCAUUCGUUUGAUUGAUUCCUUCAGCUGCUCUGCCAUGGAGUUUCGGUGCUCUUUCAUUUGUUACUGUUUGAGCUGGAGAGAUAGAACAGCAGGAAUUAGGUUGUCUUGAAGGCAUAUUCUCCGGUUUUGAUUCUUCUGAGGGGGCGAUUUGGGGAAACGAAUUUCCCUUUUCCUUUGCCCCGAAGUCAUAGAUGUGUUUGUUGAAUGAUAUUUGUGUUUGUUCCUACUGCCUCGGUGAUCAAAUUGUUGUUUCCCACUGCCUUAAUGCUGAAAGUGUUGUCUCCUACUGCCUCAGUGCUGGAAAUGGUGUUUGCUGAUUCAUAUGUGUGUUAUUUGCUGUGGAAAGUGUUGUUUGUUCAUACUGCCUCAUUAACUGGAAGUAAUCUUUUCUAGGUGGAAAGUGUUGUUUGUUCCUACUGCCUCAUAUGAUGUUUGCUGAUUCAUAUGUGUGUUAUCUCAUUAACUAAAAGUAAUCUUUUCUAGGUGAAUUUGUUGCUGUCGAGCUAUCUUUUUGAGCGAGUAUGCUUGCAGGCAAAGCAUUCCCCCAUCAAACAAUGUGGGAGGUUGAUAUGUAGCUAUAUCGUGUUUGGAUGUAUUAAAAUGUUUGUGUGUAUGUUUUCCUCCUUCUAUUGUUCAAUAUGUACUGCGUAUGUCCCUUUGUUUUGGGAUGAAUGUUGUACUGUAUAUGUUAAUUGUCAAGGAAAGUGUAACAUUCCUCA